rnacentral:tRNA from 1 species
CCAUCGGUGGUUCAGCGGUAGAAUGCUCGCCUGCCACGUGGGCGGCCCGGGUUCGAUUCCCGGCCGAUGCA